UCUCUCCUUGUAUCCAUUUCGGUUUAUUAUUCGUUUGAAGAGGAACUCGUGAAAUGUUCGAAACGUUACGAUUCAUAUUCAUUUCUUACAGUGGCUGUUUUCCUUUUCAUUUCUGCGUACACGUUACCGUGAUUGUGUCACACGCACACACGCACGCACGCACGCACGCUUACACACACACACACACACACACACACACACACACACACACACACACAUACACACACACACACAUAUAUAUAGAGAGAGGGAGAUACAGAAACACCAGUUAAUAUACAGAAGGACAACUCAAAUCUUUCCCCUUUCCCUCUUCUUCCCCCUUCCCCUACAGCCCGAGGCCCGCGAGUGUGGGAGUUCCUGGUUCGUCUGUUAGUCGAUCCUCAAGCCAAUCCUUCCCUUAUAACGUGGGAGGACGAGGCCAGUGGGACUUUUCGGCUUGUCCAGAAGGAGCGCAUUGCCGAGAUGUGGAUACAGAGGUCAAGGGAAGGAGGUCUCUCGUACAACAACUUGGCACGUACAAUGAGAUAUCACUACGCAAGCGGCGCCCUUGAACCAGUCAUGGAGCGCCAACUGGUCUACCGUUUAGGCCCACAGGCUAAAGAAUACCUGGAAAAACUCAGAAAUCAGCGUUUGUAGAUAAUAGUUAGUGGUAGUGGGAUAAUGAACCCUGUUGUGUUAUUAUGUGCGUUGUAUGAGUAAUACAAAAUUCCGUUUGGACGAGGGAUUUUUUUCAGUUUGAAUAAAAAAAUUCUAAAGGUUGAAAUUCU